CCUACGGGAGGCAGCAGUGGGGAAUAUUGCACAAUGGGGGAAACCCUGAUGCAGCGACGCCGCGUGAAGGAAGAAGUACCUCGGUAUGUAAACUUCUAUCUGCAGGGAAGAAAAUGACGGUACCUGACUAAGAAGCCCCGGCUAACUACGUGCCAGCAGCCGCGGUAAUACGUAGGGGGCAAGCGUUAUCCGGAUUUACUGGGUGUAAAGGGAGCGUAGGCGGUAGAGCAAGUCAGAAGUGAAAGCCCGGGGCUCAACCCCGGGACUGCUUUUGAAACUGUUGAAAUAGAGUGCAGGAGAGGUAAGUGGAAUUCCUAGUGUAGCGGUGAAAUGCGUAGAUAUUAGGAGGAACACCAGUGGCGAAGGCGGCUUGCUGGACUGUAAAUGACGCUGAGGCUCGAAAGCGUGGGGAGCAAACAGGAUUAGAUACCCCGGUAGUC
rnacentral:rRNA from 1 species